rnacentral:tRNA from 1 species
GCCGGGAUAGCUCAUUUGGUAAAGCAGAGGAC